rnacentral:rRNA from 1 species
GACGAACGCUGGCGGCGUGCUUAACACAUGCAAGUCGAGCGGUAAGGCCCUUUCGGGGGUACGACGAGCGGCGAACGGGUGAGUAACACGUGGGUGACCUGCCCUCAGCUCUGGGAUAAGCCUGGGAAACUGGGUCUAAUACUGGAUAUGACUCCACGGUGCAUGUCGUGGGGUGGAAAGCCUUGUGCGGCUGAGGAUGGGCCCGCGGCCUAUCAGCUUGUUGGUGGGGUGAUGGCCUACCAAGGCGACGACGGGUAGCCGGCCUGAGAGGGCGACCGGCCACACUGGGACUGAGACACGGCCCAGACUCCUACGGGGGGCGAGCAGUGGGGAAGUCUUGCGCAAUGGGCGAAAGACCUGACGCAGCGACGCCGCGUGAGGGA